rnacentral:rRNA from 1 species
CAGUAGCCGCGGUAAUACGUAGGUCCCGAGCGUUGUCCGGAUUUAUUGGGCGUAAAGCGAGCGCAGGCGGUUAGAUAAGUCUGAAGUUAAAGGCUGUGGCUUAACCAUAGUAUGCUUUGGAAACUGUUUAACUUGAGUGCAGAAGGGGAGAGUGGAAUUCCAUGUGUAGCGGUGAAAUGCGUAGAUAUAUGGAGGAACACCGGUGGCGAAAGCGGCUCUCUGGUCUGUAACUGACGCUGAGGCUCGAAAGCGUGGGGAGCAAACAGGAUUAGAUACCCCUGUAGUCCCUGUCUCUUAUACA